rnacentral:rRNA from 1 species
CGGUAAUAGCUCAAAUUUGAAAUCUGACCUUUACGGGUUCGAGUUGUAAUUUGUAGAGGAUCUUUCGGGCAAGACUUUGGUUUAAGUUUCUUGGAACAGAACGUCAUAGAGGGUGAGAAUCCCGUCUAGAACUGAUAGUCGCGUCCAUGUGAAAAUCCUUCGAC